rnacentral:rRNA from 1 species
UACGAAGGGGGCUAGCGUUGUUCGGAUUUACUGGGCGUAAAGCGCACGUAGGCGGAUCGUUAAGUCGGGGGUGAAAUCCUGGAGCUCAACUCCAGAACUGCCUUCGAUACUGGCGAUCUUGAGUCCGGAAGAGGUGAGUGGAACUCCUAGUGUAGAGGUGGAAUUCGUAGAUAUUAGGAAGAACACCAGUGGCGAAGGCGGCUCACUGGUCCGGUACU